AUUGUAUUGACUUUGUAAGUUAUAAGAUGUUAGAGUUAGGAUAACUAAGGGAAAGUUUGGCUAAUACGUUUAAAUAUACAAAUAUGUAUAUAUGCAUAUAAUAAUAUUGCAACAUGAUAGAUAUUAUAUAAAUAUAAAUACAUUUUAUAUGUAUUAAUAUAGAGCAGACUUUAUAAUAUUUAUUUAUUAUAAAGCAUGUCAAACAAGCAUCUAUAGCAUCAAGUCACAAUGUUGGCAUGUGUAUUAUUGAACCUUCAAAGCAUUUACGCAUUCGGAGGAGUAGUUUCUGAUCCCGUCGAAGGUGCCUGAGAGACGGCACUUAGUUCUAAGGAACGCAGCAGGCGCGUAAAUUGCCCAAUGACAAAACAUAUAAUUGAGGCAGUGACAAGCUGUAAAGAUUGAAUAUAUUAAUUAAGAUAACAUUUGGAAUUGUCGCUUUGUAAUAUUUUAAUAUUAUAUUGCUUGAUAAUAUACCAAUGUUAUAAAAUAUUCAAUUUGAAUGCGGUGAAUAUAAUAAUUUCAAGUAACAUGUAUAAAAUAUUUAUUAUUUUAUAUGUUAUCUGAAUAUUCAAGUGGAGGGCAAGUCUGGUGCCAGCAGCCGCGGUAAUACCAGCUCCACUAGCUUAUACAAUCAUUGUUGCGGUUAAGAGGCUCGUAGUUGGAUUGAAUAUAUUUAUUAAUACUGUGAACAAACCAAAGUGUAUAAAACAUGUAAUAUUAUAUAUAUUAUGCAAUGAAUGUUUUAUCAUGGAAUAUUGUUUAUUUCGAUGGAGAUAGUUGGAGUUAAGAGUACUUAUAGGCGAGCGGUGAAAUGCAUUGACCCUAUUAAGACUAACAAAAGCGAAAGCACUUAACUAGAUUAUACUCUUUGUAUAUUAUUACAAUGAAGAGCGAAGGUUGGGGGAACAAAGAGGAUCAGAUACCCUCGUAGUCCUAUUUUUUACAUCAAACUAUGGGAUUUCAAUUGAAUAAUAUAUUAUUUUAUUACCCCUAACAUAUUUAAUAUUUAUUGAUUGAGAUAAAUAUUUAUCUCUCAUAAAAUAUAAAAUAAAUGUGGUACAAUAUUUAUUAUAUGUACUUUGAGCUCAUAUAAUUAAUAUAGGUGAGAUGUAAGCAUUAUAGGUGAACAAUAUAUUUAUAUUCUAAAUAUUAUUGGAAUCCUUAUAAAUAAAUGUAAUGUGAUGCACGUUUUAGGUACGAGCUUACUAUAGAAAUAUUUAAAAUAAUACCCUCCUGGGGUAGUAUGCACGCACGUGUGAAACUUGAAGGAAUUGACGGAAGGGCACCACAAGAACGCGUGGAGCAUGUGGCUUAAUUUGACUCAACCCGGGAAAUCUUACCAGGUCCAGACAUAUUGAGGAUUGACAGGCGAUAAUUAAUACAUGUUUACAUGUAUUAGUAUAAAAAUGAUAGUCCUUUCAUGAUUAUAUGAUAGGUGGUGCAUGGCCGUUCUUAGUUCGUGGAGUGAUUUGUCUGCUUAAUUGCGUUUCAGUAAAUAAAAUAUAUAAUAUGUAUUAAUAUUUUAGUUCUGCCAUUUUUAUAAAUGGAUUUAAAGUGAACAAUAUUAUACAUAAUAUAUUAAUAUAUGAAUGC
rnacentral:rRNA from 1 species